AUGUACCCACAUGUCUGCUCCAAAGAAUUGGUUAUGGAAAGAAAAGGGAGUACAGUGGAGUUGGGUUCAUGCCUAAUGGACGACCAAUCGUUCCUGCUACUCCAGCUUCCCGCCUCCCAGCUUGAAUUGGUGCUGCCACUACGGCCAGCAAGCAUCCGCCGCCAAGAUUCAUGCAUGGCUGCUUCGCGUACGCCAACACGCCCUGUCUUACCACCGGCAUGCUGCUGCUCAUCCUGCCGUCUACACGCCCUGUCUUACCACCGGCAUGCUGCUGCUCAUCCUGCCGUCUACACGCCCUUGCAGAUUCAGUGCACCGGGAGAAGAAAAAUCAAUGAAAAAUAG
rnacentral:rRNA from 1 species